ensembl:lncRNA
CCCCCCCCCCAUCCUAGCCGAACAGGGAGCUGCGGCGGUUGCUUAGUGGAAACAGACAAGCCAAAUCGGCGCAGAGUGACCUAUUUUGUUGCCGUGUGCCGCUGGGAGUGUGUGUUUUCUCCUAAACUAAUCCCCCCCCCCCCCCCCCCCCUCGGUGGAUGCACGGCCUCCACGCCACACCUACUGAUGUGGUCCGAGCUCUUCCCCUCUCGCUCUCCACCCUCCACCUAAUUAUGAAAUCCCUGACUCAUUUACAUGGCUGUGUUUGAUCUAAAUUACACUCCAAACCACACCAAAUUAGGAUCAUCUGUGAAUGUAAAACACUUUUUUUCCCCUCUCUGCCCCCCCCCCCCGCCCCCCCCCCCCCCAUGUCUGUGUUCCACUAGCGAGCUCUGCAGGGCACAUGUUCACAUGAUGAAGGGGGAAUUUACAGUUUUUUAGCGUUCUCUGGAGACCUGAGCCGCGUCCCACCCCGCCGACUGAGAGCGGCUGGAGUCACCCACAAUUAUACCGGGAUCUGAUCGGCACCCCCACCCAACCCCCACCCAAAUUAGGCUGAGCCUCCUCUGACUGACUGCACACACAGACAGCGCAUUAAUUAGGAUAUGCCAGUGGCUGGGCUAACUGCAGGUGCUUAUUAUGCAUUGAUGUUCUCCUGAUGUACAUCCUUCUGCGCCCCGCUGUUUGUUUUAUUCUAUUAUCAACGCUUUACUCAAAUAUCCAAAGCUGCAACGCGGAUUCUGGCUCUUUAAAGCUGCUCUUUGGUAAAUAUUGUAUCUUCUUUUCUUCUUAAUUAAUCAAAAAGUCAAUACAAGACUGUUUAUGCAUCUUUUUUCAUUCCCAAUCAGUCCGUCGCUGCCAGCAGGUGAGCGGCUGCAGGAGAUUCAAUUGAUGCAUUUUAAUCUGCGCAGUUUCUCAUCAAUGUAACUGUGACUAACAACAGGUUUUAGAAGAAGCUCUAGAGGAAGAACAUUUGUCUCAGAUGAGCGCUCGCGUUAAGGCAGGCGGGGUGCCGGCUGCGCCCGGGCCGCCGGCAGGUAGCCGAGGUGACUGACAGGUGUCCGAGCGCGGCUUGUUAUACCUGCCCGGGGUGAGAGGCCGCACAUGCCGGGGCAGUUGCCUCUCGCUGCCGUUUGGAGACAGCAAAGCGCCGAGUCGCCCGACUAAAACGUCUGAUUAUUGAACCGAGAUCAAACAUUUCCCCACAAAUCUUUGAACCGGCAGCCAAAGUACGGAGAGCACUGCUAUUCUGAGAAAGUUUGUUUUCAUGCCUUCUGUUGUGGUUUGACUGGGCGGGCGAGCCGUGCCUCGUCCCCCCCCCCCCGCCAAAUCUGCGAGGCCUGGAUCCAAUAAGGGCCGGUAUCCGAGCGUGGCGGCGCGGUUGGCAGAAGCAGGGCGCUUCCAUCCACCUAGCGUACCCCCAUCGCUCCUCGGGCCGAGGCCUAAGUGCCUUUCCUCUUUCAACCCGCGUCCUCUCGAGACUUAAUUCACAACAAAUGUUUCAGCCUUUGUUCCUUCCUCUUGAUCCCGGGAAGCAGAAACAUUUCUCGAAAACAGUGAACCCGAGACGCAAAGCCUUCAGGUAAACAGUGGAGCGCGGCGCGUUUGUUGACACAGGUCUUCUCCAUUUCAACCCGCGUUUUCGUUUGUGUAAUUUGCAGACGCGAGCGGCCGAUGAUGAAGCACCAGCGGGUCUCCACGGGUUUGUGGAGGUUGUGAAUUAAUGCGAAGCUGGAUUGGGGCUGAGGCGGGGGUCCGUUUGGGCCGAACCAGAGCCACGUUUUGAUCAAACAAAUCGGUUCUGCUCUUCUGUCUUUUGUCAUCGCUCCUCUUUUUCCACCUCUGAGCUUUCCUGCAGCUCGUAGGUUAUUUGCACACACACACACACACACACACACACACACACCGCUGAAAGAAAAAAGAAAGGGGGGAAAAAGAGGGACACACACACACACACACACACACACACACACACAGAGUGCGGUUGAGGCAACGAAAACCCCGAGGCGUUUAUAAAAACAUCUUACCCCAAAAGAAGAAGAAGAAAACGAGAGGAUUAGAUUGCUGCUGUCAUGGAAAAUGCCUGUAACUGCAGUUCUGCUGUUUUUCUUUUGCGUACCUGAGUUCAAACUUUCCAUGGUCAUUUAGUGAGCUGUAAUACGUGGAGAACUCUGUGACCCCCGGCCAGGUUUCACUCAGCAACGGGGAAUGAAGAGAGACGACUCGCAGCUAUGAAGUGGAAACAAUAUUCUUUGUGAAAAACAACUCGGCCUUCAGAUGUAAUAAAAGAACACGCCCAUGGUUUAUGAGGAAACGAUACGCCGCUAAAGCCAGGCGGGAAAAGCUCUUAUUUUGGCGAGGUGGGGCCCCCCCACUUCAAAAUAUUACACCUCCUGAGUAGCGCUUGACCUCUUUUCCAUCAGACACGCGAGCCAAAUGUCGAAACGCCAAUAUGCUAAUAAUGCUAAUAGCUCCGACGAGACGCAUCUCAAGGCGCCUUUUGAUGUCCCGAGCCGCGUUCCACGGCAGCGUUCGCCGUAGCCAGGGGCGCCGGGGGGGGAACCAGCGAGACGGGGCGCGCCACGAAAACCCGACUGUCAACUUGCCCUCCUCAAUUUAUUAAGCGGCCCUCAGAGCGCCGAGCCGGGAUUUUGACCCUGAUAGCGCCGAGCCUUGGGGGGGAAUGGCACGGAGAGGCAAGCUCUGCGUCCUGUUGUGCCGCUCACAAAAUGAGAUGCUAAUUAAUUACCAUUGGCAUCUUUAGCAGCGCACGUCGGCUCCUAUUUGGUGUAUCAAUCUGUUAUGAGAUCAAACCGAGGCGGGCGAGGCCGCCGCCGCUUCCUGCGGCCGGCUGGAUGCACGAGCUUCACCCCGAGGUCGCCGGGCGAGCGCCGCAUGAGAGCGAGCCGGCCCGCAGCACUUAAUAAGCAUAAUGAAUUUGAUCACAUUAUGGAUCAAUAGCAAUGAGUCAGACAGCUUCCCGAUAGCUCUGCGCUCAGAUGGUCUUUAUUUAUUAACCCUGCAUGGAGGGCGGCUCCCGCAGAGAAAAGCAUUCUGGGUAAAAACCACUGAAUGAAAUGUGCAUGAAACCAGAUCCAGGUUGUCGCCACAAAGCAGAGACAGAUCCAACGUCACGUCUCUGAGGGAAACUGGGACAGAAAGCACUUUAUAAACAAAUUAGGCCGACGCCCCCGAGGACGCGGUCGGCACGCGGAGGCGAGAGGAACCAAAGGAAGGAGGCAGGUUGACCAGGUUCCUGCUCCGCCAGGAGGCCGGCGGCAGCAGUCAUUAGCCGGAGAUAAUAAGCACAAGGUCAGGAGAUUUCUGAAUUAUCUCCCCGUCUCCCCACUGCUCUGUCAGACUCCAUGAAGUUGUGUUCGAGAGCGGGCUCGCCUUAAUCAGCGCUUUAAUUGCCACUUGCCUCCGAGUGUGUGGGGAAUAAGGCCAAUUUCUCAGUCCCUCCUUCAGGAGGAUGCAGACAGGUUCUUGGAAAGGGAGAUGUGGAUUAGUCACUUGCUACCAUUUCAGGAGCCCUGAAGAUCACAAAGGAUCUCAAACCAGUGUGAGCUGUGCUGCAUUCUAUUUAAAUGUCUUCUUCACAUUCAUGGCGUCUCUUGCAAAGACAACAUUAUAUUAGCAGAUUGUCUCGGUAUGCUUUUAUUUUGAAAUAGUAGCCUUGUAAUGUUGCAUUGCGCAGCUUGAUCUAGGUUGCUUUUUGUUCAUAUUUAUAUCUUUAAGUGCACCGUGCUCACACGUUAGGGCUCAGUAGCAGUCGAAUCAUUCUGCUGAUAGGAGCGAGUUGUGUUGGCGUCUCUGGAGAGGAAGCAGCACUUCUGUGUAAACAUGUUGGAAUUCCACAUUCAUCCAAAUUAAACAAUGUUCAGGUCUCUUGUCCGUGUACAACAAUCCAAUUGCGGUGGCGUCCCGUCCUAAUAUUACUGCGUUAUGCGGCGAGUGCACCCCUCUAAUAACUCCAUGUCGGCGUGAUUAAUGGACGUUGCCUAAUAAAUUUCCUGUAAUUAAGUGUCCACCUGCAGCCUGGAAUCCAUUAGCUUUUUGUUGAUGCUGCUUCCUGGCGGCGUUUAGCUGGAGUAAGAUGGGAUCCGCUCAUUCUGACAAUCCCAGCGACGUCAGCGACGCACCUCCACCUUCCUCCACCCGUCUGACAACACACGGACCUCCACUCACCCAAGACGCCGCGGCGCUCCGGAAAUCAGACGACUCAUUAGUGCAACGAGGGCGACCUUUUCAGCGGGGCGGCGACAUGUGAGGAAGGUCACGGCGGUUAAAUGGCACAGUGGCUGUCAGUCACCUCGCUGUCACCGCGCCGCGGCGGAUGAAGGGAAAACGGGGGUUUUAUUUUGAGGGAACGCGGCCGCGUUUGGGGGGGGGGGGGGGGGGGGAGCAUCUCGGAGGCACCUGUGAAGACGAGUGACUCAGAACCGACAACAGCUCCACUUUCUGCCACUUCCUGAGGUAUCCAGGUCUGGCAUUCAUUCAGCGCCGCUUCAGGGCUCAUCACAAGUAAGUGGAGGUGUGAGAUUAGAAAUUGUUUUUCCCCGUGCCCCCCCUCACCCCCCCCGGUGUUUCUCAGCGUUACCGCUUCAUGCCCUGACAAGAAGUGACUGCUGGCACUCGAGCCGAGUCUGGGCGGGAAAUCAGUUAAGGAACGACUGUUGGUGGAGGCGAGGAACAGACGUCAGUGCGCAUUUCAGCGUCCAAUCACUUGAGGGGGGGGGAGGGGGGGGGGCUCUCCUGCAGCACGAGUGACAAGUGGGCAAAUAAUCGCGCUCCACGUGCCCUGUUAAAAUAUGUGCGUCGGUAAAAAGGAGCCGGUAGAAUACGGGAGGUUUGAUGGAGGUUUGAUGGAGGUUAGAUGGAGGUUUGAUGGAGGUUAGAUGGAGGCUCUUCCUGCAUCCGUCCCGCGUGUUUGUGCGACCCAUCGACGUCAGCGGGAUCUGAUCAGAAGAGCAGACGUGCAGAAAUGAGGCGCGGCCACGUGACGGAUGGCCGAGGAAAUCUGUGGCCGUCCGGCUGCAGGAAAAGUCCCAAACUUGCUCUGAGGCGGUUCAGGUCUCAGAAUAUCGUCUGCGUGGAAAUGAGCAGACAAGACACGCGAGAUGCCUCCAAAACUUUAAAAAGAAAAGAACUGUUUUGUUUCUUCUUCAUCAAUGCAAAACUCACUUUCGUCACUUUCUCUCUGCAGCAAGUUCGGUAAUGACGUUUCUCACAAAUCACAGUGAAACGGAGGAAAAGCAGACAACCCUCGAGUAGGCAGCUUUUAAUUGGUUCAACAAAAAGAAACCCGCGUGCAAACGCAGUGGGACAGCGGCGGGCGCUAGGUGAGAGUGAUUCCGUUAGCCGCGGGUCAGCGGGCCUCGUCCCCCCCCCCCCCCCCACAGCGCCACGUUGAAAAGUGGGACAACUCUGGUAAAGGCCGCGUGGAGGAUGCAGAUCAGCAGGCCGCAUCCCGCCUGGAGGUCACGCGCGCUCUGCUGACAGGACUUCCCAAAGCUAAGGGCGAGCGUUUGCCUCUGAAGGGGAUCCGGGUCGGCCGGCAUCGACCCUCCGUGAACUAUACACGCCACUCUGCACGCCCCUGAGUCCCGCGGAUCCACGGCUCGCACCACAUGGAGGAUCUGCUGCGCGUGAGGAACGCGGCCGUCCUCCUCUCUUCUAAUUAGAGAAGGUGAAUCAGCUGCUCGGCGGUGACGUCGCCUUCGGACAGCUCCUGGAGCUGAAUGACGGAAAACAACUGGCGGACGCGGCGACGUUUCCUGAUUCUCAGCUGGAAGCCGCGGCGCUGAAUGAGACUCGCUGGGAUGGAACAUCUCCCCCCCGUCAGUCCGACCUGGAGCUCUGCUCUCCAGUCUGAGGAACCGCUGCCUGUGGAAAAUCACUUUCAGAGGCAAUUUUUCCUUUAAAUUAGAGGGGAGGGCUCACAAUGUUUUCCCAGAUUUCCCCUCACCGCUAAGCGAGCCUUCACAUUAAGUAUUGAACCGUUAAGAGUUUACGGUCACAACCGCAGACGAUUUACCCCCCAAAAAUGGUCCUUCCUCAAACAACGGGCAGCGAACGCGCUACGUGAUGCUACGCAGGAAUUCAGAAAUACUUUUAAUAUUGAUGCAUAAAGGGACUUAACAAAAGCUUGGUGAUGAGCCAUGCUGAGCCGUGAUUGGUCGAUCGUUGUCAGGGGGAGGGUACUAAAGAGAAGAUGAUCUCCUCCUGUACACUAACUAUAUUUAUCUUCCAUUUACCAUCUCAGCCCCGAUCAAAGUCAAAGUCUUCAUGCUGCAGUACUUUUCGUCUUACGCACCAAGCAAACCUCCCGAAAUGAGUCCUAAUCAAGACAAAAGCCCGGAGCUUAGUGCUGCAGGAUGUCUUUGAUUCGGCACACGAGGCACAAAGGUGCCUGCUACCAAACAGACGGGUUCAAUUAAAAGAAAUGACUGUUUAUCAUUUAUUUAUCCAUCAGAAAACAAUUGGACGUUAUGAUUGCAAUUUGCUUGAUUAAUGACUUGAUUAAGGCUGUUAAAUGUUUACAAAUGCGCUCGGCAAAUAUUUUCAGAAAACGGGACGUGGCAUCACAGCCGUGUGUAAACUUCAAUUAAGCACAAAACCAUUCAGACCCCCCCCCCCUGGGAUUCAUUAUUCCCACCUAAAUCUGCAUUUUUAAUGAUUUAAUUUGAGAUAACAAGUUCCACCAGCAAUUAUUUACUUCUUAAAACUGGCAAAGAGCUGCUCUAAAAGAAGGAGGAAAGGUGAGCCCCUGAAUGUCGCAUCAACAAAUGAAGAAGUUUCCAUCCAAACCGGGCGGAGCAACAAAGCGGCGUGCAUCAUCAUAACAAACAAGCUCCCAUCGAAGACGUAAUUAAUGGCAUUGUGUGCAAUAUGUAACAUGCCGGUGCUUUAAUCAGGAUCUCGUAACGUGAUCUUCCUGAGGUGCCGGCGCGCAGCGACGACCAGCGUCUGAAGCAGAGCCCGCCCACCGGCGGAAGCUGAGGAACGGGAGGAGAAGUGAGUGGAGUCGGGGGCCCGGGCCGGCCGCGAGCCGCAGAGGGGACGAGAACAGAGGAUUGUGGGGGAUGCGCGACGACAGCGGCACCGGGGGAGCGGGACCCAGUUCAGGGGCCUUUUUUCCAAGAGUGGUAAUCAGGCGGAGGGGGAUGAAAAAGGCUGAUUUUCAGGGAAUUAGCAUGAUAAGCGAGAACACAAAAUCAAUCCCCGUCCUCAGCCGAGGCCUCCUCUGAUUACUUUGAACUGGCAAAAAAUGGCAGAAUCAAAUCGAAAGUGCUCGAGGUUAGGGGAGUGAUUUGUUCAAGAAGAGAUCGCUAGAGCAAUUGACACAGCUCUUGAGACAAUAAUUGGGUUAUCAAAGAGAAAACAGUUCAAGUACCACGGGGGUGGAAGCCUAUUUGCAUUGGAUUUUCAUACGGAGAGACACACCUCUUCUUUGCAGCCACUGUUUUGUUCCCCCCGCUCUCCACUCGAGGGGCCGGUUGACACGGGGAUUGCAUCAUUAUCAUCCGACGGUUUGUUGCCAUGUGCCCGCCGCGUGAUUAGCAAGUGGUUUGUGUGUACAGAGACACACAGAGUGGCAUUCACUCGUGUGUGUCUGCGUAAAGUGCGCUUCUGUUUGUGCAGGCGGCGAGAGUUUACUCCUCUUCUGCCUCAGAGCAAAAAGAGUUUACUCUUAAAAAAUACUUUUUGGUUCUUUUUCCCGGGCGGAAAGGAGACACACAAAGACGGCGUCUGUUCGACGGAGGGGGAGGAGAGUGACGGGGUGCUGCGUCACGUGACCUGGUCACCCCGCAUGAACCCCAUCGAGAUGCUCGGGAUGAAGGAACAAAAGAAUAUAGAAUAUCAGAGACAUUCUGGUUCGUUCAACUCAUGAAUUGUGUCAGUUUGCAGGUCUUCAAUAUUAAUAAAACAGAGCAAAGCAUUGAAUAACUGGACUGGUCCCGGGUUUGUAUGCGUAUAUAUAUAUUUAUACACACUUGUCGUGGUACCGGACCCAGAGGCGUCCGAUCGGCCCUCCGUCUUAUGUUGAAAUAAGAAGCGCUGCUUCUUCCCCGUGGCUCCGGCCUCUGAAACAACCUGCAGGAAUCCCGGCGGGCGCUUUGAUGUCGGGUCGGGACGCUCGGAUGCCGCUGGCGUGUGUUUGCACAGCUUGGAGCGACUCGGGGAGGGAUCAAGGUGCCGCGUGGACGCGCGGCGCCCGGGUCACAUGUGAGAGGCAAUAAUCCCUGGCGUUUGUUUUGCGCCUCGCGGGGGAAGCAGGUGGGAGGAGCUUAGCAGAUGCACGGAGUCGGCGCCUCCUCGUGAAGCCCGGCGUGUGACUCAGAGAAGUGACGAGCGAGAAAAGGGCACGAGGGGUCAAGAAGGCACGCGGGUAUGAAGAGCGGGAGGCCAACGAGAACGAGGUUGAGAGAGGAAGGAGAGGACGAAAGACAAAGGACGCAGCGUUGAAUCAUCACUCGUCCAACAUCCACGACUUUGCAUCUCUUCUGAGCAGCGACUGAACGAAAGGGAGAAUAAAGCGCUCAAGCAUCUCGUGUCUUAUUUGUAAAGCUCGGCGGUUUCCUCACCACCAAUUUACAGCUUCUCUGCGUGCGGACGGCCGGCCCGCCGCAGCCCGACUUCAGCAGACAGAAGUGCAAACAGCAGAUGAAUUAAAGGUUACCAGGGAAAGAUGACGAGUGUCGGGCCGAUACAAAUUACCGCAGGAAGGAGAGUAAUGAAGUGGAGCCGGGGGCCGGUCAAUAAUUAGAGGUGGCGCGGCCGCUGUCGCCGGCGUUCUGCAGCCUCCGCGCUUUGUCUCCGUUUUAAUUGCCCAGGUUAAGAUGGCCGCCCGCCCCCGUGAAAAAAAAAAAAAAGCGCCAUUCUUAACGGGUUUAAAGACGCCGGAGAUUCGGCAGGACGCGCGUCCACGAGCUUUCAAACUUUCUCCGUCUCGUCCAUUUUGUUUACUCCGAGCGGAGCAUGAGGGAGUUCUGCUUUGAUCCCACCCGAAAAAAAAGAGAGAAGGAAAAUCAGAAAUCAAAAGCAGUCCCAACCGUGCGCGGGGAAGAAGGGGGGAGGAAGGGGGGAGGAAGGGGGGGAAAGUGCCACGAGUGGUUGACAGUUGGUGCAUUGGCUGGGGUUUUUUUGCAAGCAGGGAGACAUAAUCACACAAAUAAGACAUCAAAGAUAGAUUGAGACUUAAAAUAUGCAGAUGGAAAUUAUUCAGAUUGCUUUGGGAUGGCGGGGAGCAAAAUAUUCCCUCAAAGUGUCCGACUGGAUGAGAUCAAAACUCCGGGACGCCAACGAGACGCGAGCGGGAACCAGAGGACGCGUUCGCAGGCGUCCGGGGCUUUUCCUCGGGGGCCCCAGCGGCUCCGCUGGUUCUCCUCGUGGUUCCCCCGUCUGGAGGGGAAUCCUUCUUUUCUCUCACACACACACACACACACACACACACCUGUGCCACGUCGGCGGUCUCCACCUGUAGAACCAGAACCAGCUGGUGGAGACGGGUCGCCGGUGCAUCGCCCGCUAGAAACCUGUGAGGCCUUUUUUAUGUCGUAUUUAAAUCACAAAGCUCAACCGGAACCUCAAAGACGCGCGGUGACCCCUGGUGACCCCUGGUGACCCCGUGUGGUCGGACCACCGGCUCUCUGGACCUCAGCGUCCCGCAGAGGGUUCGGGGGGGACAGGAAGUUUGUCUUUGUCAGAAAAGCUGCAACGUGCCACAGAAAGCGAAGCCCGUCUGUGCUAAUUAACACUUUGAGAGAUAAAAGCCGUUUGUUGAAUCAAUCAGGACGCCGCUUGUUUGUGAAUCCCGGCAGAAAAGGACAUUUGCAUUUUCCCUUUGCAGCUCUAACCCACAUUUGAGGAUCUUCUGAGAUUGUGGCCAGCUUCAAUGUAAAUAUUUUCCCCUCACUGCUACUGUACACGUUUUAAACUUUCAUGGCCCGGAUCCUCUGGUGGAUUUUCAACUCAUUAAAAAAUAAAGAGAUGGAUAAAUAAGCAAACGUAAAACGUAAACAGACAAACAAACGAAUAAACGAACGCGGAUGUUACGGCACUGGAGGAGCUCUGCCAAGACGCGUGGCUAAACAAUCCGGAUUCUAAGUUGCUGGUAGAGAUUUCCAGUUCAACACGGCGCAGCGAACAAACACGGAAGCAACAAACAGGCUUCCAAAGCGCAUCGUGUGCGGCUCAUCUGGAGCCGCCUCAACGUGUCCUGCCAACGUUUGACUUCCAUGUGCAUCAGAUAAUGUUUGGCCUUCGUUGUUAUUGUGUUAGCUGAUUAUUGUAUGACGUCUCGUUCAAUUAAACGUAGUGCUACUAAACAUCUACAUGAUAUCUAUAAAGUAUUUCCCCGUAGAACAAACCGUUUAUUUCCCCCAAUCCAUUUUAAUAUCAGGCCUCGAUGCACGAGGGACUAUUUCUAUAAUUACCAACAGGCUGGUGCAUCUUGCGGGGGGGACGUUCUCCCCGGUCAGGGCCCAACCUCCCUCGUGGGCGGCGGUCACGCACGUCGCGGCCUGAGAGCGGCCGGCGGAGCCUCGUCUCCAGGCGCAGCGCGGGUGAAGCGGUUCUUCGGGGGAGCCGCUUCACCCGUCGUGGAGCCUUUUAAUUGCAGAAGCUUGGAAACCAGCUGAAAAACCCGCUCGCUUCAUGCUUGGGAACACGGAGCGGCCCGGCGCCCGUUUCAUCUGCUCGCAGGUUGAACUCACUUUGCAGGAAAGAGGCCAAUUAGGGCGCGAAGGGAUUAAAAACACAGGGGGGAGAAAGCGUUCACUGUGGGAGGAAAAUAGAGGAGAAGAAGAACGCUCAGCACUUGAUGAUGGUGGAAUUACAGAGGAACCAGGCCACCUGGUUUAAUGUGGGACGUGCACGGCGUUCGGGCCGCGUCACGUGAUGUAAAUUCAGGUUGUCCACGUGGGAUCCGUCGUGGGGGGGGGGGGACGGGGGUCUUGAUGGAGGAGAGCAGGUUUGCUCGCAAGGCAGAGCGGGAAAUCGAUGCGUUGUUGGUUUAUUGGUCUGACCUCUGACCCCCCCCGCUCUUUUCCCUCAUUGCUCCUUCUGACCCGUGUCAAUCCAGCAAGUCGGUUUGAACCAAUAACAUUACAUAGUUAACUCAAACAUCCUACAUGCAUUUAAAUAACAACGAGCCCCCCAAUGAGGACAAAGAGGACCUUCCCACGAUCUAUAAUCCCAGUAAUGCAGCUCAGAAUAUUUCAUCAGACCGUCUCCGCCUGGCUAACAUCCAAACAAAUGCCCCGUUAAAAAGAGGCACCACGACAAUAACAACUAAGGGAACUAUGCAACAAGAGUUGCAAAGAGAAAGAAGAUUGACAGGUGAUGAACAAGGGCCUGGUGGAUUAGCAUAGCUUUUGUUUCAAAAGGAGGUAAAACCCACUUAUGUCAAAAGCAGGAUGUCUGCAUUUGGAGGUCAAACUUGUGAGUGGAAGCAAAGAGAGAAAACCUUCCCUUCACUUCUGCAAACGAGGGAGAGGAGAAAAACUUCCAAGAUCCAGACACCCGGAACGAAAAGGUCACCCGAAUCUCCCGUCUCUCAGUGAUGCUAAUGACGCCUAAUUUGAAAUGGAAUUUUAUUCACAUCUCGAAAGCCAACAAUGAGAUUUCAUUCAGAUAUAGCUUCUUACUUGCUUUAAUGAUAAGUCGGUUGGAGAGCGGGGCGAGGGAGCAAAAGGAGAUCCCCAAGGUGCUUUGACUGUGUUCUUUUAUUAAUGACUCGGCCCUCGUUUGAUGAACCGUUAUCGGGGAGACGAUCGUGGCGACUGAUCGCAUUAAGAGGCCGAUGCAGUUGUUUUGCCUCGUCUCUCGUCCGCUGUGGAUUAUGGUCAUUAGCAUGAAAUGAAUUCCGUCCAUUCACAAGGUGCACCGGCUCCCGUCCGCUUUGAACCCGCCUCGACGUUAGCGGCAUCCACGUUAGCGGCAUCUACGUUAGCGACGUCCACGUUAGCGACCUCAACGUUAGCGGCCUCCACGUUAGCGGCCUCCACGUUAGCGGCGUCCAUGUUAGCGACCUCAAUGUUAGCGGUCUCCACGU